GCGCUUCCCUCCUGGCCCGGCCCGGCCCUGCCCGGUGCCGGUGCGGCCCGCCGGGGGCGGCGGGGGGAGCCGGGGCCGCCGGGGCCGCCUCUCACCUCGCUCGGGGCGGCGGGUCGGGCCCGCGCGCGUGCCCGGCCGUGCGCACGCGCCGGGGCGGAUGCGCGCGCCCCCUGGCGGAACCCGGCGCGCGCCGCAGGCCCCGCCCCGCCCCUCCCCUCACGGGGACUGAGGGAGCCGGGCCCGGCCGGGACAGCGGGAGCGGGACAGCGGGACCCGGGCUGGGCAGGGACCGGGACAGCGGGACCCGGGCUGGGGAGGGACCGGGAUCACACCGAGGCACACAGGCCGUGCCAGCCUCGUGUCCCGCGGGGAACAGCCCCGAGCCCCUCUGCCUGCCCGGGAGAGCCCCGCGCUUCUCCCACGGUCACCGGAGCAGCUCCCCCGGCUCCUGACUGUGUUCGGCCUCCAUCCCGGCAGCUCUAGAGGUUUUUCCUGCAUCUGGGAGUCAGGACUCUGUGUGGUUAAAGGAAGGAAUCAGCAUGUGGGGAUCUGGUUCCUGCUGUUCCCAGGAAAGGUGAUGCAUCUGCAAGCUGCACUCCAGGAAUCUCCAGCUGGAUACUCUGGGAUGAAUUCAGUGCUCACACGCUGCUACCCGGAGGUUUUAGUGAGUGAGGUCACUUUCAUUUGCUAUUUGGAAUUAUUUGCCGAUAAUUUGUGCUUCCCUGCAGCCCAGUGCAGGAGUGCAGGCCGAGCCCCAGGUGAAACACAACACUUUUGUGGUUCAAACCCAGAGGCCACACACACAGAAAUCAGGGGGAGCAUUGUCAGGCCUCUCUCUCCCUGCUCUCGGGGGGAUUUCUCGGCGCCGUUGGGAGGAGUUUUUGUGGCGUUUUCUGCCUCGGACACACGGUGGCGAUGGAAAUCACCUUUUCCUGCAGAGCUUCGGCCUUUGGACUGCUUGCUAACCACACGUGUGUGUGUCCCAGCAUGGAAGGAUGAAAUAUUUCUGUUCAAUCCCAAAUAAACGCUGACGUUUCAAUUGGCUGUGGCUCCAGAGAAUCCAGAACACUUUCUCGUAAGCAUUGAUAUUAUUUAAAUUCAGAUGUUUGUGUUAAAAACAAGAGCCAGUGGAGGGCUGGUGUUUGGCUUUAAAGGGUGAUCUGACCUUUCUCUCUGUUCCUUGGUGCCAGGCUGGCAGUGUCACCGACCCUCACCCGGGCUGAUCUGCUGUGUUUGCACUGGGGCUGUCACCAGAGCCUGGUCAGGAGAGGUGGGACCAGCACUUGGCGUCACCAGAGGUAAAAACAUUUCCCCCGUGUGUUUUGGAGUUUGGUAGCUCAGGCUGAACUUCCUUUUUUUGAGACAGCAGAGUGGCAUGAGUUUCCCGUGCACGUGCUUGGAAUCAUGGAAUGAGAGUCAAUAACUAUGGCCAGUUUUGGAGCAGGACAGGGAAAGGUGUCAGGUGCAUUUACCACCCCUCCUGCAGAACACGGUUAUGAUUCAAACAUUUAAAAAGAAACCCAUUGCAAAGCGUGUGUGAACUCUGUGAAACAAUUGAAACACAGAUUAUUCCUGCCCAGACUUGAAUCCCAGGAUUGUUACGUGGAAAAGACCACAUCCAGGCAUGGGGGCCCCUCCACUGUCACCAGUUGAAUUUCAUGGAAUCUCCUGAGUUGGAAGGGCCCCACAAGGAUCAGCCUCACUGUCCCCCAGCUGAUCAUUGCAGUGCCCUCAGCCUCUCCUCACAUGCCUUUUCCUCCAGACCCCCCACCAUCUUCAUAGCCCAAAAAAUAACAAUUUUUAAAUUUUAUUUCCUUCCAAAUCCAAAUCCAUGCUGGGUUUUUAAGGUGAAUGUCUUUAACUCUCUGCUUUCCACGUGUUCGUGUCUCUGUGUGCCCUUGACUGGAGGAGUUGCUGCAGAUUUCAGAGAGUGAGGCAAUCCCUCCCCAGCAGUGUUUGGACAGCGUUUGGAGCUGGCUGGAUGUGCUGGGCUGGGCAGGCAGAGUGCAGGUGCAGGUUUUAGCAGGCCUGGAGCUCUGGGAGCAGCAGCCAGGAUGAACUCAGAGCCUGUUGUAAUCUCUGGUUUGGUAAGUUCUGUAUGUGGUUAUUAUCAGUGAUUUGGGACCAGCCCCUCAGCAAGCCAAGCACUCCCCCUCACUCCUGCAGCACUUGGGAUUUAGCACUGAGAGGAUUAACCAACACCAAACCCUUCUCUUCAUCUCCUCCAUGAAAUAAUUACUGAGGGAGGAUUCUUUGUGUGAAGGACACAUCUAUAGCUAUGCAUUUAUGUCUACAGAGGUAUAAAUAAAACUGUCCAUGCACAGAUUUCCCA
ensembl:lncRNA